AUGAGGAAGCGAAAAGCACCAACAACUAGGGGGAUAAAUUCCCUUUUCACGCCAGUUGGGUCAACUUCAAGCUCCAACAUUACUGGUGCCGAAAAUGUGAUUCCAUCUGAGGAGCAACCUGUUGCAGAUAACCAAACAAAUGAUAUUCCUGUUGAUAUGCAAACUGAUGAGCAACAGGUUAUGGCACCGGAAGAAGUUGCAGCAGGAGAAGGUACAGUUGAAAGCACAAAAUAUGUAAGGGACCCCGGCAUGCGCCAGCAAAUUUGGGAACUCCCUCAUGAUGAGCAAGAAGAAGCACGCCGCUUCUAUAUUUUGAAGGGAGCUUAUCAACCAUACAUGAGAGAAUAUCCAUAUAAUAAAACAGGAAAAAAUCAUCGUCGAUUUCAAUACAGUUAUUUCAAUUCUUUUCCUUGGCUUGAGUAUUCGAUGGAAACACAUCGUGCGUACUGCCUACCUUGUUUUCUCUUCACAAAAAGGCCAAGUGGAAGGUGUGGCUCUGAUGCAUUCACGGUCAAGGGAUUUAAUAAUUGGAAGAAGGUGAAUGAUGGAAACGAAUGUGCUUUCUUAACUCACAUGGGCAAAGAUUCCAACUCCGCUCAUAACUUUUCUCAGCGGUGUCAUGAUAAUCUGAAAAAUAGUUUGACUCACAUCGACAAGGCAAUGGUGAAAGUGUGUGCAAAAAAGGUCGCAGAUGCAAGGCUAAGGCUUAAAGUUACAAUUGAUUGCAUCAAAUGGUUAACAUUCCAAGCUUGUGCUUAUAGAGGCCAUAACGAAUCUCCGGGAUCAAGUAAUCAGGGUAAUUUUCUUCAUCUGCUGAGGUUCUUGGCUUCUUAUAGCAAAGAGGUGAAUGUGGUUGUUUUGGAAAAUGCUCCAAGGAAUGCGAAGUACACCUCCCAUACAGUGCAACUAGAAAUCCUCACAUUACUUUCUAGUAGAGUUAAGGAAAAAAUUAGAGAUGAAAUUGGUACUAGCAAGUUCUGCAUAAUGGUAGAUGAAGCACGAGAUGAAUCAAAGAAAGAGCAAAUGGCAUUGGUUCUUCGAUUCCCGAGCACCGAGGGGUUCAUACAGGAGCGUUUUCUUGAUGUAAUUCAUGUCACUGAUACUACUGCUUUGACUCUCAAGAAGGCAAUUUGCAAAGUCCUUUCUGAUAAUAAUUUGAAUGUCCAAGACAUUAGAGGACAAGGCUAUGACAGGGCAAGUAAUAUGAGAGGUGAAUGGAAUGGAUUGAAGGCUCUAAUUCUGAAUGACUGCCCUUAUGCAUAUUAUGUGCAUUGCAUGGCUCAUCAGUUACAGUUGGCGCUUGUUGCCGCGUCAAGGGAGGUACAUGAUGUGCAUAACUUUUUCCAAAAUGCAAAUUUCAUUAUAAAUGUUGUUAGCGCAUCGACUAAACGUAAUGAUGAGUUGUUAGCAAAUAAAUCUGCGGAGAUUGAGGUCCUAAGGAGUAUAGCAAAUGACCGUGCAGCCUCGAAAUAUUCUAGAGGAGAUGCCGUAGGAGCCAUAAAAAUAAUUAUGUCAUUUGAUUUUGUGUUCAUUUUACAUCUAAUGGAGAAAAUCAUGAAAAUCACUGAUGUUUUAUGUCAAACACUCCAAAAGAAGUCACUAGAUAUUCUGAAUGCAUUAGAUUUGGUCUCAACCACAAAGGUGCUACUUGGUAAGCUGAGAGAAGAUGGUUGGGAUCCCCUUCUUCAGGAGGUUCAAUCUUUUUGUUUGAAGCAUGAGAUUGACAUCCCUGAUCUGAAUAAUGAUAACACUACUACAUUACAUCACUACAAAGCAGAUGUGUUCAAUGUUGCCAUAGAUCAGCAAAUGGUUGAGCUAAAUGAUCGUUUCGGUGUUCAAAACACAGAGCUUUUGACACUUUGUGCAUGUAAAGCUGUUACGUACUCAAUGGUUGAUAGAUUACUACGGUUGGUCAUAACUCUUCCGGUGUCAACCGCAACAACUGAGCGAGCUUUUUCAGCUAUGAAACUAGUCAAGACACGUCUUCGAAACAGAAUGGGAGACGACUUUCUUCGGCAUUACAUGGUCGUCUAUAUUGGGAAGGAAAUAGCUGCAAAGAUCACAUCUGAUGAGAUAAUCAAUUUGUUCGACACUGGUAGUCGUAGAGCUGAGUUUAAGCUAAUAGAUAUGUAA
rnacentral:rRNA from 1 species